rnacentral:tRNA from 1 species
GGGGAUAUAGCUCAGUUGGCCAGAGCGCUUGCAUGGCAUGCAAGAGGUCGCGGGUUCAAGUCCCGCUAUCUCCA